UACGUAGGGGGCAAGCGUUGUCCGGAAUCAUUGGGCGUAAAGACCGUGUAGGCGGCCCGAUAAGUCCGCCGUGAAAGUCCAGGGCUCAACCCUGGAAUGCCGGUGGAAACUGUCGGGCUGGAGUCCGGAAGAGGCGAGUGGAAUUCCUGGUGUAGCGGUGAAAUGCGCAGAUAUCAGGAGGAACACCAAUGGCGAAGGCAGCUCGCUGGGACGGUACUGACGCUGAGACGCGAAAGCGUGGGGAGCAAACAGG
rnacentral:rRNA from 1 species